GGUUCGAUGCCACGUCGAUGGUAGCUAUGUUUGCUAUGACCAACGAUGCUAUGAUUGAACCAAAAUCAAGAGUUUCUUGUUUCGCAUUUUGAUAGGAAUCUGUGGAUUCUGUUAUUCAUUCGAUCCACGGAGCCGUUUUAUGCGAUUACAUUU
rfam:Lupinus angustifolius cultivar Tanjil contig_19438, whole genome shotgun sequence.